rnacentral:tRNA from 1 species
AUUGAUGUAAGAUAGAUUCUUGCAGCCCUUA